rnacentral:lncRNA from 1 species
GUGCAUGAGAACUGUAAACAGUGAUUCAACGUGUUGUUCUUCUUCAUAUCCAGGGCCUCCAUCUUCUCUGCCUUUCCCAAAGUAUCUUGUGUUGAACAUCGUCCUCCUUAUCACGUUCCCCGUAUAUUGCCUCACUGCUAAUCUCAGGUUUAUAACACCGCCAUGCAUGUUUUCAUGGUUUAUGCAUUGGUUGUAAAUGAACCUAACAAGGUUAUCAGCUUCUUGGGUUCUUUUAUGGAGUAACCAGCUAAGCCUUGCUGGGUUUAUAACGUUGGAAGCUAUCACUUUUCUCAUUUUCUUCCAUUGAUCACCCCAUGGCACCAAAGCUGACGACAAGAAACCUCGAGUAGCAUACUCGGCCGCCAUCGUUUUCGGCCUGGAAGCGAAAACAAAAUCAUGUUUCUUCAAGAAUUCUCUAGCGAUUUCGGGGGAAGUAACGGUGAUGACGUGAACGUGUCCGAGGCGGAUACAAGCGAUAUCGGUACCGAGCUGUUUCAUGAGGCCGAGAAUCCACCUGAAGACUGGUUUGUUUUGCCAGAUUACAGGAAGGUUCCGAAUGAUGGGCCAUGGAAUUGGUCCCGGAGGGAGCGGUGGUUGUUUUCUAGUGGUAAUACUGCCUUUUAGUUUGACAACCACAAGGGGUGCAAAGACAAGCAGCAUUAAAACAAGUGGUAAAGGAAGUGAAACAAGCAGUGUAGAGAUAACAGCCAUAUCAUGGGAUCUGUUCCAUGAAGGCAGCUGAUAAAUUUGAUAGGAAGUAUUGGUGAAAGAGGAGUAAUCCAUGUCUUAAAAAUAACAACUGGAUUUAAUGUUACAAGUUACUGUCUUCUGCUUGCCUGAACAAAACGAACAUGGUCAGAGCUACAUAGAGCGACAUGGAGCAAGAGUCCUUUUGUGAGCACAAUUUUUGCCACAUUUUUAUUCUAACCUUUUUCUGGUGGCAUGCAUCAUCGUACAUUUAUCGUAGUUGCGUCUAAAACUACGCGACAUUGUUCUUCAUUCUUAAUUAUUUUAAAUUUCAUUUUUGCAUUCUUUAAAUUUUAUUAUAAAUUGUAACUCAUUCUUCUUUUAUAAUAAAAGCGUUUUCCUCAUUAAAAUUGUAAUUUAUUUUUAAUUUAUAUAUUAGAAAAUAAAAUAAAUGGAAUUAUAAUAAUAAAAAUAAAAUAACUCAAUUCAUAAUAUUUUUCAAUUCAUAGAAUAGAAAAAUAAAUAUCAAUUAGUCUAAUAGUUAAGCUUUUACAAUUCUUAAAUGAACUUUUAUUUUUUCAUUGAUUUGGUUUUCUUUUCUUACUUGAUAUAUUGAAUUCGAAUAAUAAAAUUUGAAAAAUAUUAAAAUUUGUUUUAAAAUUUGAUGAUACACGAUAUCAUCAGUAGUGGAGAAAGAGAGAAAAUGUGUUCUGGUGAAGGAGCAAAGAAGAAAAAGAUAACAAAAAUGGAGUGCAUGAACUACCGUCCCUCAAAGAGGGUAUUUAGAAAUAUAUAUAUAUAUAUAUAUAUAUAUAUAUAUAUAUAUAUAUAUAUAUAUAGGGGUUGAUAGGAUUGGACUUCACGCUAGGUUAUUAUAUAUUUUAUUAUAAUUAUAUAACAAAUGUACGAUGUCAAUAUCAUAUAUAAUAUUAUCUAAGCCUAAUUUAUGUUGAAACAUGAGCCUCAAAUUUUGUAAAAAUUUAUCCAUAUUUGUAAAUGAUUAACUCAAACUCGUUUAGGCUUGCUCAUAUUUUUUUUAAUUUUAAAAUAUAAUAAUUAAUUAUAUAUAUUUACUACCAUUAUAUGCAUUUCAUUUAUUAAAUUUCUAAACAUAAAUAACUUAAUAUACUUUUAGUAUUUACAUUAUAGUACAAUAUAUUUAAUUCUUUAUAUGCUAUAAAUUAUAUAUAUAAAUUAUAUAUAUUCUUUACAUUAUAGUACAUAUUUGAAAAUUAGUCGAGCUGUGUCAAACUUGGGUUUAAUAAGUUCAAUCCAUAUUUUAAUUGAACCUAAUUUUUUCUGUCCAAACUUAAUUUUUUUUAUCUUAAAAUUUUUGCAGAAACCCUCCCAAAAUUUGAAAAAGCCUUUGGAUUUAGACGAAUAAUCCAAUCCUUUCAAAAAAAUUUAUUUAAAUCUAAUUUUUUAAUUAUACUAUACAUAUUAUAUUUAUUAUAUAAUUUAUAUAUACAAAAAUAAAUAUUAAAAGUUAAUCCAUCAAAAAGUUAAUUUUUUGGUUUAAUACUUUAGAUAUGAUCGAAAAAUAUUAUGAUGAAUUUAAUUUAAAUUUUAAGUUAUUAUUACAAUUUUAUUUUCUUUUAAUUUCUAUUCUUUUUCAAGUAAUAUAUAAUUUAAAAAGGAAAAUGUUUUACAACCUCAAAAAAUAAAAAUAAAAAUUGUGGCAUUAUCUUAUUACAGGGGGCAUUGAGUGGGGCAGGGAAUUUUAUUGUGUCUCCAAUUUUUGCAUUAUUAGAAAGAGAGAGAGAGAAAGACAUUUGUGAGCACAUUUUUUCCACGCAUAAUAGUAUUUUUACCAUAUUUCGAACUUAAAGUGGAUGUUAUUCUUUGCCUAUAAUCUAAAGUUUUCUAUCAAAUUUGUUCCCUAAUUGAAUGAGAAUUUUAAAUUAAACAAAUAGAAUGUAUGGUUGACAACUAAUAUGGUUUAUUGAAAAUGACUGAAGGCUAAUAAUGUCAUUUUGAAGGGAUAAUAAAAAAAAUGAAAUAAUAAAUAUUAGAAAUUUUAUGGUAUGUGUAUGUGUAAUGGGGCUACAACUUUAGUCUCGUAAUCCGUACGACCUUAGGUAAUUUCUUAGGUUUAAAUUCACUUAAGUCAGUCUAACUCUCGAAAAGUAAAAAUUUGCAGUAGAAAUUUCUACCAAUAAUAAAGAGGAAGCAAGUAAAAAACAGACGCAACGAGAGAACAGAAAAAGGCACAAGAAAGCAACGCCCACAAGGUGUCUAAAUAAAUGCUCUCAAAUUUUUCUAUUACUCAAGAAUGAAGUACAAUGGGAUGAUUAUAAAUGAGGGGGAAGACCUCUAUUUAUAUUCGAGCUCCCUAGAUCUAAAGGUACAGUUUACUUUACAACAAUGGUUGAAAUUAAAGCUUAUCUAAAAUUGAAAUUUUUAAGAGGUUUACAUAAUCCUCUAAGAUUACAAAAUCAAAUCUUAUAAGAUUAAAAAUCUUCUAAGAUUAGUUUCUAUAUUUACCAUUACAAAUCUUCUAAGAUUAGUUUCUAUAUUUACCAUUACAAAUCUUCUAAGAUUAGUUUCUAUAUUUACCAUAACAAUCUUUAUUUUCCUUAAGUGCUUCACUAGGCCACCAAAACUUUAAGUAGGUGGGUUUCUCUACAUGUUCCACGAAUCUGGUCAGUUCAAGUGGGUCGAAUGAGCCUCAUUUAAUCAAUUGACCUCCAAAGGAUGUUCAUUAUGCAUUUGUCACGAACUUUGAUUUGGGACCUAUGACAUUCUACCCACCCAUUCUCACGGCGCCUUAGUUGCGUCUUUAUGACGACACUGGUUUGACUUGCCUCGAAAUUUUCUCAAUGCCUCGGCCAUUUCCCAACUAGCCCAUUUGUUAAGUAGUUUCGUCAUUCAAAACAUUUGCCACAGCUUCUUUCGUCGCCUAACUCGAACUAUUCCUCUCCUUAAUACAUUUCGUUUGCAAGAGUCCACUAAUCUUACUUUCCUACAUUAUGACUUGCCUCGAUGGGGAUCCUCUUGAUUUGCACAAAUAGGCUCCAACAUACCUAUAUUAAACACUAGGUUAACCUUGAGUAUUACUGCCAACUCUAUUUAUAUGCCCCCUGGCUUACCUGGUUCAGAACUUUGUAAGGGCACCUGUGUCUUUGCUAAGCCAACGGUAAAUCAUAAUGCAAAACACUAUAUAAAUGUUUGAGAUGUACCUCACUUGUUGCGUUUACUCUUUCUGACUACAUUAGUUUGCAUCACCACUUCCCCUCAAAGUUUGAUGCAUAACCCACUUCUCUGAUAGGCAAUAACCCCACUGAUAGCUUAACAAGCUUUAUAUCAUUUUACCCCACCUCUAUCAUUUCUAAGGGGGUCUUCGUAGUACUCUAAUCUACCAAGUUGAUGUUCUCAACACAAUGAACAUCUUCGACUAGCUAGAUUGCAGACAGUACCUUGGUUCCACCCAUCUCUUCAUAACUUACUAACACAACACAUUGUUGUUGACGAGUAUCCAAUAUACAAAUACAAUCGGAAAAAAGAACCAACAAAAAUAUAAUCCUGUCAAAGAAAUUUAAGCUAAGCCCGAAUUCAUAAUCAUUUAAGUGAAUUACCUCAAAAUCUUCCUUGUCUUUCUACUCGCCAAUUUGUAGCUCAACUCCUUAUGUUACUCCCACAGUUUAGACCUCUUUGGAAUUAACCGUCUUGAUCUUCUUAGUCGAUUUGCUAAUUGAAAGACCAAGUUUACCCGUAUCUUUUUCUAAUAUAAAAGAGUCAGAUGCCCCUGUAUUAACAAGGGGGUUCUUCUUUCGACCUACGAUGUUGAUGUCCACAAACAUCAACCCUUUCUUCUUGUGGUCCUUCACUUUAGUAGAUUUGAGUAUCAUUUAUCCAAGAUUCAAUAACCUUUCUUUACCGGGCUCUACUUUCUCUUCUUUGUUGAUCGCAACAAACUCAGAUCACUAUGGACAAUACCACACCUUAUGUGAUCCAUAAUAUAAGAAGUAUUGUAUCUCACUGUACUUUUCAUUCGGCUAGUUGUUGGGUUUCCCCUUUUGAUUAUGUGGUUUCCUAGUGCCACUAUUAGCGUUGUUAUACUCUACAUUUCCUUCUUCAUCUUCCCUACUAUUGUCUUUUUCUUUGGGCUUGAAAGACUCGAACUUGUCUUUCUUUGGAACAAGCUCGAUUAAAGACUCUACCAGGAUCAUGGUUUUGGAAAGUUCUUAAACCCCUCGACAUUGCAAUUCCUAUUUUACCUACAACUUCAACCCAUCCAUGAAACAGUAGAAUGCUUCUUUCUCACUUAAAUUCGUGGAACAUCAGUUUAUUGAACUCUUUCACAUACUCCCUAAUUGUGCCUUGUUAUGAGAACUGAUGCAAUUUAGCUUAACCCUUCUUCUCAGCAUAUUAUGGGGAAAAUUACUCCUUGAAUUAUUUUCGAAACUCUUCUCAAGUCUUAAUUGUGGCCUAAUAACAACUUUUAUCUACAGAAUUAUAACACCACAACAAUAGAGUAAAAUUAGUAAAAUAUCUAGAAACAAUAUUUACAUUUGCAUCAUUAUCCUUGAUGAAGUAUUGCUCUAUCUCUCAUUAGUUUCGUCUACUGGUUGUCAAGUUAUUCGAUAUUUGUCUAAGGUUUAACGAUUUUGUGGGGAGAUUCAGAUCUAAUGAUUGUUUUGUUAAGGGGUAAAAUGGAGGAGGAUCUGGCCAACUUGAAUAUUUCUGAGGAAGAAAAAGCUCCAUCCUAAGGGCAAGGUAAUGUAGAUGUGAUUGAAGAGGAUUACAAGUCUUUUUUUUGUGGGGAGGGUGCUAACGGAUAGUGUGGUGCACUUUCUUUCAAUGAGGAAUACGCUUGCAGAUCUAUGACAUCCAUUGGAAGGAGGUACUAUUUCAGAUAUUGGGGAAAAGAGGUACUUGUUCCUAUUUUAUUAUGAGAUAUAUCUGAAGAGGGUGAGUGAAGGUAUGUCAUGGACAUUUAAAAGACUUUUGAUUAUUUUUCACAAACUAGAGCAAGGGGAGGACCCUUUAGAAGUGCCUUUAAAUUAUUUAAUUUUUUGGGUUUAGAUCCACAAUCUACCAAUUAGACUUAUGUCAAAGGGUAUGGCAUGCCAGUUUGGGAAUUUCAUUGGUACUUUUAUGGAGCAUCACAUUGCUUUGAUCUCAAGGGAGACCGGUAGGUUUAUGAGAAUACGAGUGAAAGCAGAUAUUCGGAUUCUACUAAAAUAGAAUAAGCGAAUUGUGUUGGAUCAGAAUUGUUCAGUUUAUGCUUAUUUUCAGUAUGAGAAAUUGACGUUGUUUUGUUUUGUGUAUGGGAAGCUUUGUCAGGGGGAGGGCUUCUGUUCGAUGCAGGUAACAUUUGCAACACAUGUGGUGGAGUUUAGGUGGGAUAUUUCAUUAAAGGCAGCAUCAAGGAGGGGCUAAUGAUUGUGAAUAAAUGGUUACAAAAUGAGACUUUAGGGAGGAAAUUUGGGUGGAAGGGGUGGAAGAGAUAAAAUUCCCAAAUCAGAUGAGUGUUUGGAGGGACUAAUUUGGAAGUGAGCAUAGAAUUGGGUUCGGACAUGAAGGAUAACCCUUUAGAGGUGGUUGAUGGAAAUAAGAAACAACGUACUCAUGCAGGGAAUCUGAAUGGUCAUAUUAAUGUGAGUUAGACAGAGUUGGGUAUUUCUAAUAAAUUAUCGGCUCUCGCUUUCAAGUAAGUCGAUCGAGAAGAAUGAAAAUUCUUAGUUAGAAUGUCUGUGGCUUGGGGCAUCCAUAGGCGAUUAGACAUCUUAAGAAUAAACUAAGACAGAUAAAGCCCCAAAUAUUGUUUCUAAUUGAAACAAAGCUAAGUGCUAGGAGAAUAAAGUGGAAUAAAGAAAUGUGUGAGUUUUCUAAUGGUAUAGAGGUUGAUGCGAAGGGCUCUAGAGGUGGAUUGCCUUUAAGUUGGAAUAAUGGGUGUAUUGUUCACCUAUGGAGCUACUCGAUUUCACAUAUUAACAUUGAGAUUGAUGAAGGAUAUGAAGUAGAUAAAUUGCGGUGUACUAGGUUUUAUGGGGCUCCGGAUGAGAGAAGAAGGGAUGAAUCAUGAAACCUUUUAAAAAUGUUAGGUACAGAUACUUCGUUGCCGUGGUUGGUGUUGGGAGAUUUUAAUGAGAACAUGUAUUCUUUCUAGAAGUAAGAGGGAUGGCUUAGGGAGGAAUAGAGAAUGAAAAGGUUUUAGAUGGCUAUUGGGGAGUGUGAUCUAAGUGACUUGGGGUUCUCAGGUUAAUGGUUUACUUAGGAAAGAGUAUGCCUACAAGAAAAUAAUGUGCGGGAAUAGUUGGAUUAGGGGGUGGCAAACUCAGCUUGGUGGGGACUUUUUUGGGGUUAUAAUGUUAAGCAUCUUACUUAUGUUUUUUCUGAUCAUUAUCUGGUGUUGGUUGAUACUAUAAGUAAUUAUAGGAGUUGGAUGGUAAGGGAACAAAAUUGGUUCCAACUUAGUGUUGAUUGGGUACUUGAGGAUACAUGUGAGGAAGAUAUUAAGAACUUUUAAGAGUCAUCUAGAUUGGGUGUUUCAACAAAGUUGGUGAAAUUUUGAAAGAAAUUAAGUAGGUGGGCAAAAGAGAAUCAUCAAUAGAGAAAGCUAAAUGUUACGGAGUUGAAUUCCUGGUUAGAGGAGUUGAAUUCAAUCGACCCCGAUAAAAGUUAUUUAAUGAAGUAAAAUUAAGUCAAACUUGCGCAAACUAUGGAAGCAGACAAAGAAGAACUUUUUUUGGGAACAAUGGGCAAGAGCAAACUGGCUCAAAUUUGGAGAAUAAAAUACAGACUUACUUUCAUAGAUGUGCAUCUUCUCGGAGGAAAACGAAUACUAUUAAGGGAUUGACAAAUUGUAAUGGGGUAUGGGUAACAGAAGACGAGAAAAUGGUUUGCAUAUUGUUGUUGGUAAUAAGGUAUCUUAGUAUUGUAUUGAUGUUCUAAAUGGGGUAAGAGAGGUUGAUAUUAUAAAUUUUACGAAUAUAGUUCUCAUACCUAAAGUAGGAAACCCGAAUGCAAUGUCACAAUUCAGGCCUAUUAGCCUUUGUAAUGUCUUUACAAGAUUUUAGCUAAGACGAUAGAUUAAGAAAGGUUUUAGAUGUCUGUAUUGAUGUGGCUUUAAGGGUAUUUGUCCCUGGAAGGUAGAUAUCAGAUAAUAUAAUUAUUGCAUAUGAGUUGCAUGCUUUAAAGAAGAAGAAGGGUGGUUCAAGGGGAUUGUUUACGUUAAAAUUGGAUAUGAGUAAGGCUUAUGAUAAGGUAGAAUGAGUUUUUUUGGAAAGAAUGAUGGAACGCAUGGGUUUUAAUAGGAGGUGGAUUGAGCUUGUGAUGAAGUGUGUGACAAUAGUGUCAUAUUCGAUUAUCUUUAAUGGGAUUUAAGGGGAUUUGUUUCGGCCUACUCGAAGACUAAGCCAAAGGGAUCCCUUAAGCCUUUAUUUAUUUUCAUCUAUGUAAAUGGGGCUAUCGAGCUUGCUUAAUUUAGAAAAAGAGAAGGGUUCGAUUUAGGGAGAAAGAGUGGGAAGGCAGGGUUUGACAGUGACUCAUUUGCUUUUUACUAAUGAUAGUAUUUUUUUGGUGAAGCAAGUGAAGGGGCAGCGAGUGCAAUGAAAGUUAUUCUAUUUGAGUAUGAAGGGGUUUUUGGCCAAGUAGUUAAUAUUGAUAAGUCACUUGUUUAGUUUAGCAGGAAUGUUGUUAGCACGUUGAAGAAGCAAAUUGGGGAUGUGCUGGUUGUUUGGGUUUCCAGUAAUCCAAAAAAGUACUUGGUUCUACCAACACUUAUUAAGUGAAGCAAGAACGAAGUGUUUGUUACUUUCAAAAAAAGGUUUCUCAAAUGCACAAAGAGUUGGAAUGUGUGACUCCUUUUUAAAGAGGAAAAAUGUAUUUAUUAAAUCAAUUUUGCAAUCAAUCCCGAUAUAUACUAUGUAGUUUUUUUAUUACCGAUUACUUUGCGUAAGGAAUUAGAGAGUAUUAUGAGUAAAUUCUAGUGGCGCAAUAGUAAAACAAAGAGGGGGAUACAUUGGUGCCAAUUGAAAUUAUUAUGUAUGUCGAAAUGUGGUGGUGGUUUAAGCUUUCGGGAUUUAGGCAAAUUUAAUAUCACAUUAUUGGCAAAACAUGCACGGAAACUAUUGACGAAGCCUAAUAACUUGUUUGCUCGUGUUAAGAGAGCUAAAGAAUGCUUCUUUCUCACUCAAAUUCGUGGAGCAUCACUUUACUAAACUCCUUCGCAUACUCCCUAAUUGUGCAUUGUUACGAGAACUGAUGCAAUUUAGCUUAAGCCUCCUUCUUAGCAUAUUAUGGGGAAAAUUGUUCCUUGAAUUAUUUUCCCUCCCAAGUCCUAAUUGUGGCUAACCACAACUUUCAUCUACAGACCUACACUGUCACCAUAAUGGAGUGAAAUUAGUAAAAUAUCUAGAAACAAUUUUUAUAUAUGCAUUACACCACCGUCCACUAUCAUGAACUCUAUCAUGCUCUAAUUACGAUUUUAGAUAUUUGGUCAAUUUUAAUUUAGGUCCUCAAGCUAUAUUUUUAAUUAAAAAUCUAUAACGAUUGAAUUUUACGAUUUAGUCCCUGGAUCCUAAUUAAACACAAUUUCAACUAAGUUACGUAACCCAAAUUCAAUUCACCUAUAUAAUAGCUCCGUAAAUAUUUACUCAGUUUACGGAAAAGAGGUCCCAAGACUACAUUUUUCGACACCACUAAUUUCGAGUUGUUGCAAUUCGAGUCAGGCUAAUGCAAAAUGUUAGGCUCGUUUUCUAAGCCUAAUCAAUUUGUUGGAGAAACUUUUAUUUUAUUGUGUUGUGUUUAGUGUAUUUGAUGUAUUAUAUUUUUAAAUUUUAUUUGUAUAUAAAAUAAUUUUAAAAAAUUAAUAGGGUGAACCAAGCCGAACUCGAGUUUAACAUUUUUAAUUUAGGUCAGGUUGAGCAGAAUUUUAGACCGAGCCUAGACCAAAAAAUCUUACCUGAGGUCCAACCCGUUUAGAAAACGAAUCUUAUGUUUUAUCUAAGCUUAUUUUUCAAGCUUAUAUGUUUAUUCAAAUUCUUUUGUNNNNNNNNNNNNNNNNNNNNNNNNNNNNNNNNNNNNNNNNNNNNNNNNNNNNNNNNNNNNNNNNNNNNNNNNNNNNNNNNNNNNNNNNNNNNNNNNNNNNNNNNNNNNNNNNNNNNNNNNNNNNNNNNNNNNNNNNNNNNNNNNNNNNNNNNNNNNNNNNNNNNNNNNNNNNNNNNNNNNNNNNNNNNNNNNNNNNNNNNNNNNNNNNNNNNNNNGUUCGAAAAAAUCCAUUUGUCAUGAAGCACUUGGUGACUAGACGAAGAGAACCAUUUCAAUAUUGUCUAAUUUUUCCUCAAAUAGGAAGAUUUUGAUGUCACCUCUCCUCCUUCCAAAACCUAACCUCCUUCUCCUGGACAGACCUCCUCUAUGUACCACUCACUGGCAACCUCAAAACCCUCCUCAUCCAAACAACCGGUCCCCCACCCCGCCAACUUCGGCGAUGGCAGCAUCACAAACAACCCAUCAACAAACUCCAUCACAAGCAACUUUCCCCCUUUCAAACGCCACAAUUUAUAUAAAAAAAAUUCAUUAUUUUUUAUAAAUAAAAAAUCAUAAUAAUACUAGUUCGGUAGCUUUUGUUGUUAGGGAAAUGCUGAAAUGAUAAUAAUAGAAGGAAAAAAUGGGUGGAGAUGGAGAAGAAGAUUAGGACGAUGUGCUUUUUUUUUUUUUCUGUUUUUGGUUAAAAUGAAGUUGCUUUUGUCAAGGAAGAAGAAAAUUAAAAAAUAAUAAUAUUUUUUAAUUAAAUGAAUGUAGUAAUUCCUCUUUAUUUUUAAUUAAUUUUAAAUAUAUUUUUAGAUUCUUUUAUAAUUUGUAAAUAAUAUUUUUGCUGUUAUGAAAGAAUAUAGAACAAAAUUUCAAGACAAAAAAAAACCUAUAAAAAAAGUGACAAAUUGAGAGGCUAAAUGAGUAUUUAAGCCUAAAAAAAAGGGUAAAACGAAAAGAGAAGCGCCAAAAUGUAAGGGAUAUCAGGGAUUAAUAGAGAAUUUCGGGUUUAUGCCAAAAUAAGGAAAAACUAAGAGAAUUGCGCAUUUAACUUCAUUUUAAAAGUGUACUUUUCAAUCAUUAAUCUACUUUCUAGGGUACCUUUGGAACACUGAUUUUGCUCCAGCGCAGUGCGUUUAAUCACCUUUUUGGAGUAAUCGUACUAGUGCUCUCUAUUUGGAUGACAAACUUCAGUACAGUAAGCUUACGUGACCAUCAGUGAAAUAAAAAAUUUUCACCAGUGAAAAAAGUUACAGUUAAAUCUCACUGGAGUUUACUUCCUAUUUUUAGACCUAGUAAGUAGCAGCAACACACACGUAUUUAAAAAACCACGUUUCGUUUUCUGGGGAAAAACAAGCGUUCCUUUUGGCGUAAUGUACGGAGAUGAGCGCUCCCUUCAUAAUAAUUAAGGUAAAUUAUAUCUAAAAUUAUUAAAUUAUUAGUAAGUUUAUAUUUUGAUAAUUUAAUUUUAAAAAAUUACAAAAUAAUAAUUAAACUAUUCAAAAGUAUUUAUUUAAAGCUUAGUUUGGAUGUGUGAUGCGUUUACCUUCAGGGAUGUUAAAAAUAAUAGUGACGGUAAGAUUAGUUAGUGUAGCAAUGAGAUUGUAUAUGGUAAUAUGAGAUUAAAAACAAUAAUAGGGUGUGUGUUUGAAUUCAAACACAGCGGUAACAAGGAGGUGAGAAUAAAAAAUUAUUAUUAAGGACAUUAAAUUACAUUAAAUUAUAUAUAUAUAAUAAAUAAUUAUAUUCUAUAUUAAAUAAUAUAUAUUAAUUUUUAUUUAUGUUAAAACAAAAAUUUUAUUAAUAAACAAUUACAUUACAUAUAGUCCAUAUAUCUACUUAUUUAUAAUUAAUUCAUAUAAAUUUUUAUAAUAAUAAAAUUUAUUUAUAGUUAUUAAAUUAUUAUAUAAUUCAAUUUUUUAUACGACAAAAAUAAUAAAUUAUUAUAAAUUUUAUUUAUAUAUUUAUUUUAAAAUAUAUUUAUAGUAAAUAUUAAAAUAUAAUAAAAUAAGUAUGACAAUAAACAUAUAUUUUAUGAUAAAUUUAUAUAUUUACUACAUCAACAUAUAAAAGAGUAAAAUUUAUUUAAUUACUAUAUAAUAAGAUUUGUAAUUUACUUGGAUGCCCAAAAGCCUUAUUUUCACAGUCAUAUAAAAGAUAAAGUGGUAAAAAUAUUACCCACUAUUGUUGCUUCUUGGUUACUACCGUUUGCCACUCUAGUCUAAAACUUUCUCACCAGUGUGUUGGAAGAUUUUUCAUUGGCCAAAUUUGUUGUCAUUCAAACAGGUAUAUGUGGUGCAAUUGUACUAAAAUCAAGAGUAAAUGUGCUUCAUUGGAAGCGAUUGGGUAUCCAAAUGAGUCAUAACUCGAAAGUUUUUAUUUAAAUUUUAAAAAAAAAAAAGUCUAACUAGAGAGUUCCAAACGACGAUUCGAUGAUUAGUACAAUGGAUCAAUACCCUUUAAUGAAUAGAAAAAUGCAUCUUAGAUCCAAGUCGAUCUGACGGUCAGUGUCGGAGAUCAGAGAAAAAAGCUAUUUGAAUUCUGAUUUGUAAAUUCGUGAAGUCCAAAGUUGUUUCAUGAAAACCAAAAUGAACUAUGGAAGAGAAAGAGAAGGAUAGCAUUCAAUUAGUGUAAGCGAUGCAAAACAGAAAAGAUUAUACAACAUCAACUUUAACAGCCAAUGACUUAAGUGAAAGUUUUCAAAUAAUUUGGUGACCAUUUUGUAACUUUUUGAAAUUGAGUAACCAAAAUAUAAACUUACUAAUAAUUUAAUAACCUUAAAUGGAAUUUAUCCUAAUAAUUAUUAUUCUAAAUUUAAUAUAUUUAAAAAAUUAAUUUCACAUUUUUAUAAAAAUUUAAAAACCCCAACCGAAAACCUUAAAUCCUUAAAUUCUACCCUUAAAUAUAAUUUUUAAACUUAACCAAAUUUUUUUUUAAAAAAAACACAAAAAAACCCAACAGAUAAAUACUAUAAUAUCCCUUUCUCUUACUAGGCUUUCUAUAUAUUUUAUCCAUCCCAAAUUUUUCUAAACCAUAAUUUUUCUAUUGCAAAAUCUUUCAAAUAUAAUAUAAAUGUUAAAUGAAAAAAAUUUAAACUACAUCAUUAGUCAUUAAAUUACGAAUAAAUUUUAAUUUUGAUUACUUAACUAAAAGAAAUUACAAUUUGGUCAUUAAACUAUUCGAAAGUUUCUCAUUCAAAUCAUUGAAUUAUUCAAAAAAAUUUAUGUAAGUCACUGGAUGUUAAGAUUUUUUUUUAAAUUUUCGCUAUUGAGCUCUAAGCAACGAUUUGGUAAUUGGUACAGUAAAUCAGUACCUAUCGACAAGUAGAAGAACAUAACUUAGAUAAAUUUGGAUCUAAUGGCCAGUGCAGGAGAUUAGAAAAAAAAAAGCUAUUUGAAUUUUGGUUCACAUAUUCCUGACGUCCAAAAUUAUUUCGUGCGAAAAAACUGAACUGUAGAAAAGAAUGGGAAAGAGAGCUUUGGAUUGGUGUAGGUAGUGCGAACAGAGAAAGUCAUAUAGCAUCAAUUUUAGCAGCCCCAUGACUUAAAUGAAAAUUUUCGAAUAGUCCAAUGACCAAAUUGUAACAUUUUUAGUGAAGUGACCAAAACGAAAGUUUACCCAUAGUUUAGUGACUAGUGGUAUACUUUACCCAAUAAAAAAUAAAUUUCAACUUUUAUAUUUGGUUGGAAUCUAUAUUUCGAUGUUGUUUCUUGUAAAGUUUGGUCUCUUAGCCAAGGAAGUCAAUACCUUAUUGGUGGCACACUAUUAUUCUACUGGAAGUGAUACAAAUCGAUAUUGAUUUGUUUUGGUAUACCAUUUAAAAUUAUUUAUAAAUAUUAAAUUAAUAAUAAUUAAUAAAAUUAAAAUAUAAAAUAUUUAUCAAUUACAUAAAUUACUCAUUAAUAAUCUUUAACACAUAAAAAUCUAUCAUUCAAAUAAAUUCAAAAUUAAUAAUAACCCAUCAUUUCAAUAUAAAAAUUUAAGGGUUUAGCUCUUUCUAUUUUUCUAAUAAAAGAAGUUGAGGCGUGAGUAGAGAUUUUUUCUUUUAUAAUUAUAAUCAUGUGAACGUGGUUUUUUUGAUUAUAUUUUAUUUUUAAUUAUAUUUUAAUUGUGAAAAUAUGUUCUAAAAAUAAUUUUUUUUAAAAAUUUUACAUUUUACUGUAUUUUUUUUGUUAGUCAUAUUCCAACUAGAUCUUUAAUAUAAAAAUAAAAAAUAAAAAAAUUAAUUUUUAAUAUUAUUCAUGUAUUGGUUGUUGCAGGUGUGACAAUAAUUGAUAAAAAUGAGUGAUGAAUUUUAAUUUCCAUCGGAAGAAAAAUAGAUAUUAGAUUUUCCUAUUUAGCGCCGAAACAGUAAGCAGCACCAACAGUAGAACCAGUGCGGAACCUAGAAGCAAAGCUCUAUGCUCUAAAAUCAACCUAAAAACACCUCUUGAUAUGUCAAUAAACAAAAUCGUGUCGGUUAAAAAAUAGAGUGCAUAGCACCAUGAUGACCGAGAAACGAGUGCAAUGAAAAAGCUGAAACCCAUAAUAUCUAAAAAUAUAAAGUUGAUGGGCGCAAAUCUCACAUCAAUCACACUACAAUGGCAAAAUACAAAAUAUCUGGAAUGAAGAAAAUAUAGAAAUGCAGCCUAAAAACUUGUAAUCCUUUCUAAAGCUGAGUAUACAAGGCAGGAGACAAGCGAGGUUUAGCAAGUGCAUGCAAUGGUUUGGCCAACAACGUAUCAUCUUCGGAUUCAGAGAGGUCAAUUUUGGUUACAUUGGGCGGCAUCUCCCACGUAAAACCUUGAAUCAGCCUCGCAAACAGCAUCAUCGUCACUGCGGACCCAAGUCCCACCCCUAUGCACCCUCGCCUUCCGGUCCCAAACGAAAUGAACCUCAGUUCAUUCUCUGUUAGUUCAACUCUGCCACUGCCCCACUCAUCAUUCAAAUGUCUCUCGGGCUUGAACUCCAAUGGCUCCUCCCAAACUUUCGGGUCCAAGCCUCGGCGGCUGAUCAAGACACGACUGCCUUUAGGGAUGAAGUAGCCAGCGACAGUGGUGUCGGCGUUGGAGACAUGGGGAACGUUGAAAGGUGCACUGGGGUGAAGUCGAAAGGCUUCCCUUGCACAGCAUUUAAUGUAGUUGAGUUUUGGAAUGUCAGUCUCUUCAACCAGAAUACUCUUUCCGACAACACUGUCUAUUUCGUCAGUUGCUUUUCGAAGAAUUUCAGGGUUGUUCAGCAUCUCAGCCAUUGCCCAUUCUGCUGCAUUUGCUGGAUUAUCUACUGUUGCAAGCAUUAAUUCCUGCAUAUACAAGGGGAAAAAAAAUUCUAAACUGAUAAACACAUAAAUUUUGAGCGUCUCUGGAUUAUUUCAGGUCUGACUGAGGUCGGACCCCAAAUAGAGAAAACUUUAUAUUUGUGGGGAUGUAACUUUAUAAACACAUGCUAGCUAGUUGAAAGACAAUUCCAUAUCGUUGAACAGUUUUCCCUUGCGGACAGGAAUCUCACCGAGAUUUGGGCUUUGAUCUCUUCAGCCGAAAGUGCAGGCUUCCCAUUUAAAUCCUUUGCUAAAAUGAAAGCAUCAAGCAGAUCUUGAGGUUCCUUCCUCUUCCCCUGUCCCCACUCUUUUAUUCUCUCAUCAACGAGGGGAUCAUGGUAGCCAUUCACAAUUCUCAUAGCCUCACUUACAAUCUUUUCAUGGCCCUCCAAGUCCAAUGGCCUCAGCCAAGGCACAUAAUCUGAGAGGAUGAAACUAUUGAGGUGCAUGAGAACUGUAAAUAGUGAUUCAACGUGUUGUUCUUCUUCAUAUCCAGGGCCUCCAUCUUCUCUGCCUUUCCCAAAGUAUCUUGUGUUGAACAUCAUCCUCCUUAUCACGUUCCCCGUAUAUUGCCUCACUGCUAAUCUUAGGUUUAUAACACCGCCAUGCAUGUUUUCAUGGUUGAUGCAUUGGUUGUAAAUGAACCUAACAAGGUUAUCAGCUUCUUGGGUUCUUUUAUGGAGUAACCAGCUAAGCCUUGCAGGGUUUAUAACGUUGGAAGCCAUCACUUUUCUCAUUU